rnacentral:rRNA from 1 species
AUAGCGUAUAUUAAAGUUGUUGCAGUUAAAAAGCUCGUAGUUGAACUUCAGACCUGGCUGGACGGUCUGCCUCACGGUUUGUACUGUCCGGCUGGGCCUUACCUCUUGGUGAGCCGGCGUGCCCUUCACUGUGGUGCGUCGGGGAACCAGGACUUUUACCUUGAGAAAAUUAGAGUGUUCAAAGCAGGCUUAUGCUCGAAUACAUUAGCAUGGAAUAAUAAAAUAGGACGUGCGGUUCUAUUUUGUUGGUUUCUAGAGUCGCCGUAAUGAUUAAUAGGGAUAGUUGGGGGCAUUAGUAUUCAGUUGCUAGAGGUGAAAUUCUUGGAUUUACUGAAGACUAACUACUG